rnacentral:rRNA from 1 species
GCGAAAGCCUGAUGGUGUGACGCCGCGUGGAGGAUGAAGGUCUUCGGAUUGUAAACUCCUGUCAAGUGAGAGUAAAGCCGGGCGUUAACUGCGAGCCGGUGUGAGAGUAUCACUAGAGGAAGAGACGGCUAACUCUGUGCCAGCAGCCGCGGUAAUACAGAGGUCUCAAGCGUUGUUCGGAAUCACUGGGCGUAAAGGGUGCGUAGGCUGCACGGUAAGUCAGAGGUGAAAUCCCGGAGCGUCAACUUCGGAAAUGCCUCCGAUACUGCCGUGCUUGAGGAUUGGAGAGGAGUCCGGAAUUCACAGUGGAGCAGUGAAAUGCGUAGAUAUUGUGAGGAACACUAGUGGCGAAGGCGGGACUCUGGACAAUUCCUGACGCUGAGGCACGAAGGCCAGGGGAGCAAACGGGAUUAGAUACCCCGGUAGUCCUGGCAGUAAACGGUGCACGCUUGGUGUGGCGGGAAUCGACCCUGCCGUGCCGGAGCCAACGCGUUAAGCGUGCCGCCU